UUCACUUCUUUUCAGGCAGCGUGGGGUAAACGUAGUUUUGUGAAGUUUCUUUUUAGAAACAUGUAUACACAUAGAUACUUUUUGGAAAGAAGAGAAGCUUAUCUUUACUUUUUAAAAACUUUUUUGUAUGGUUACUAGGCUUUUUAACAGAUUGUUUUGCUCCUGAAUAUUUAGUUAAUGUUUUCACAUGAAUUUGUAGUCGAAGGCAUGUCGUGUCCGCUUUUUUUGUUAUUCAGACAGUUUUUUACAUGCAUUUUCUAUUCAUGUGCCAAAUUUCAACGAAAAAUAAUUGGGAGCAGAUAUGUUACAAGUCCAAUAUGCACAGACUACAACUGUUCUUUCUACGUGUGCUACGCCUGUUCCAUCUGUACUACCUUUAAACAGUAAAUUUAUGAAUCUGGAAUGUCUCUGAUUGAUUAUUGAGUUCCUCCUAUUCCUAUUUAUAUAAUCUAUUUAAUACUUUUGUGUUUUGUUAUAUGAAGCUUAUAGGUCAUUUCGAACUUAAAAUUAAUAUCAUUUACUAAAAGCCAAGACAUAGAGUAAUUACUAUGUUUCAAAACAUUUUUAUUUUUUAUUUUUUUUAUUAGGUUGGUGGGUUAAAUAUGAUCAUUUAAAUGAGAAAAUGUAUACUAGUGCAGUUUGUAAUCUGGGUGUUAUAACAUCACAACCACAUCUAUGACCAACUCUAAGGUCACGUUAUUUUGUUUGGCAGUGUUUUGGAAUCAAGUUAUGGCAAAAUUUUAUGUAUAAAAUAUAACAAUUACAUUUAAAAAGUGCUUAUUUCUGACAAAAACUUGUAUUUUCUUAAGGGUUAGAUGCUGUUUCAUUACCCCCUCUGGUUCCCAAGAUACACCCUACAUCCAGGCACCAAAAUUAACUUGUAGCCCAUUAGUGCACCUAUCUUGUGAUACCAAGAUAUAGGUAUUUGGAUAAAAAUUGACAAAGUUAUAACAAUUAAAGUGAAAAAAAUAAUUAUUUUGACCACAGUUUCUUCAAUAAUUCCAUAUUCUUGCGGCGAACGUGACGUCACUUUAACUAACUAAACGGCUACCAUUAUGGUAUGGGGGCAAACAAAGCGCUUGAAAAUGAAGAAAUGUGUUUUUGAUUGUUCAAUUAAUGUUAAUAGUCAUCCGAACUUGAUUUGUUAUAUUUUGCUUCCUGAUCCAAAGAGAAGAAAAUCGUGGCUUUAUGCUUUAUAUAAAACUGAUUCAUCUUGCAAAAACAAACUUUGGUCGCAAAACAUGUCUAAGUAUGCUCAAAACAUUUGUAUCUGAAUAUUAUGUACAAAUAAGUCAUUGCAAUAAAUCUCAAGUUAUUAAAGUCAGUGAACAAAUAAGUACUGACAAUUCGUUGACUGGAGUGGAAGAUGUUAGUGUCUUGAACCAACAUGAAACAACAAGUUAACUUAGCUGAGAAUGAUGGUAGUUUAAAAAUAAUGCAGCAUUGGCUAGGAUUGUUCCUAGGUCACAAAAACAAUCUUACAAAUAGAGUUUCUGCUGUUGUCACUAGUUUUAGAGAGUACCUUCGUGAAUGAAGAUAAAAAGUCAUUUAUGUUAUUUUUUAAAAGCCAAGACAUAAUAUUGUUAAUCCUCAUACUAUUUACUAAAAAGCUUUUUAAAUAUU